rnacentral:ncRNA from 1 species
CUGCGGCUUAAUUUGACUCAACACGGGAAACCUCACCCGGCCCGGACACGGACAGGAUUGACAGAUUGAUAGCUCUUUCUCGAUUCCGUGGGUGGUGGUGCAUGGCCGUUCUUAGUUGGUGGAGCGAUUUGUCUGGUUAAUUCCAAUAACGAACGAGACUCUGGCAUGCUAACUAGUUACGCGACCAUCGGAGCGGUCGGCGUCCCCCAACUUCUUAGAGGGACAAGUGG